GCUGCGAUUGCCGAGUGGUAAAUUGCGUUGGACUAGAAAUCCAAUGGGAUCUCCCCCGCGCAGGUUCGAACCCUGCUCACAGCG